rnacentral:rRNA from 1 species
GGUGAACGCUGGCGGCGUGCCUAAUACAUGCAAGUCGAGCGAACGGACGAGAAGCUUGCUUCUCUGGUGUUAGCGGCGGACGGGUGAGUAACACGUGGAUAACCUACCUAUAAGACUGGGAUAACUUCGGGAAACCGGAGCUAAUACCGGAUGAUAUUUUGAACCGCAUGGUUCAAAAGUGAAAGACGGUCUUGCUGUCACUUAUAGAUGGAUCCGCGCUGCAUUAGCUAGUUGGUAAGGUAACGGCUUACCAAGGCAACGAUGCAUAGCCGACCUGAGAGGGUGAUCGGCCACACUGGAACUGAGACACGGUCCAGACUCCUACGGGAGGCAGCAGUAGGGAAUCUUCCGCAAUGGGCGAAAGCCUGACGGAGCAACGCCGCGUGAGUGAUGAAGGUCUUCGGAUCGUAAAACUCUGUUAUUAGGGAAGAACAUAUGUGUAAGUAACUGUGCACAUCUUGACGGUACCUAAUCAGAAAGCCACGGCUAACUACGUG